CUUUAUUGGAGAGUUUGAUCCUGGCUCAGGACGAACGCUGGCGGCGUGCCUAAUACAUGCAAGUCGAGCGAGUCUCUUCGGAGGCUAGCG
rnacentral:rRNA from 1 species